GCCUCCGAGUUGUAAUUUGAAGAGGAUGUUUCGGUGCGACCUGGGCCUAAGUUCCUUGGAACAGGACGUCAUGGAGGGUGAGAAUCCCGUACAUGGCUGCAGGUUUGCUUCUAUGUGAAACUCCUUCGAAGAGUCGAGUUGUUUGGGAAUGCAGCUCAAAAUGGGUGGUAAAUUUCAUCUAAAGCUAAAUAUUGGCGGGAGACCGAUAGCGCACAAGUAGAGUGAUCGAAAGAUGAAAAGCACUUUGAAAAGAGAGUUAAACAGUACGUGAAAUUGUUGAAAGGGAAGCGCUUGCAAUCAGACUCGCCUUCAGUUGAUCAGCCUUCCUUCUGGUUGGUGCACUCUGCUGUUGGUGGGCCAGCAUCAGUUGGGGCGGUGGGACAAAGGCUUCAGGAAUGUGGCUCGUUUCGGCGAGUGUUAUAGCCUGUUGCGUCAUGCCGCCAGCCCCGACUGAGGUCCGCGGUUCGCCUAGGAUGCUGGCUUAAUGGUUGUAAGCGACCCGUCUUGAAACACGGACCAAGGAGUCUAACAUCUAUGCGAGUCUUUGGGUGUAAAACCCAUGGGCGAAAUGAAAGUGAACGGAGGUGGGAGUCUUCGGAUGCACCAUCGACCGAUCCUGAUGUUCUCGGAUGGAUUUGAGUAGGAGCAUAGCUGUUGGGACCCGAAAGAUGGUGAACUAUGCCUGAAUAGGGUGAAGCCAGAGGAAACUCU
rnacentral:rRNA from 1 species